rnacentral:rRNA from 1 species
CUGCAUGGCUGUCGUCAGCUCGUGUCGUGAGAUGUUGGGUUAAGUCCCGCAACGAGCGCAACCCUUGCCUUUAGUUGCCAGCAGUUCGGCUGGGCACUCUAAAGGGACUGCCGGUGUUAAACCGGAGGAAGUGGGGAUGACGUCAAGUCCUCAUGGCCUUUAUGACCAGGGCUACACACGUACUACAAUGGCCGAUACAAAGGGCAGCGACACUGCGAGGUGAAGCCAAUCCCGUAAAAUCGGCCUCAGUCCGGAUUGGAGUCUGCAACUCGACUCCAUGAAGUUGGAAUCGCUAGUAAUCGUGGAUCAGCAUGCCACGGUGAAUACGUUCCCGGGCCUU